CGGUCUAAGGUUCCCUGAAUUGUGCAAACGAAAUAAUGGCGUUUGCGUGUCCCCUGGGCAAUUCAUAAACGCUUUGUUAUUUCCUUACAAUACCAAGGCGCUCUUCAUUUUUUACACGAUGAAUUUUUAAUUAUUCCCGAAUUUCCUUAUCUUAAAGACGAUUUUGGGAAAAAAAUGGGGGCUAGUGACGAUGACUCUCCUUUGUCAGUAGAAGAAGUGACACAAAAAGACGAUACUGAAAUAAAUGAUUCUAAAUCAGAUAAAAAAAUUAAGAAGCUGAAGAAGAAAAAGCAUAAACACAAGCAUAAAAGACACUCCAAUAGUGAAAAACAUGAAAAGAAAAAGAAGCACAAGCACAAACGAAAAUCAGAAAAUGGUGAUGUCAAAAUCAAACACAAAUCCUCGUCUAAAGAGGAGAAAGAAGAAGGCGAGAACAACGGAGGCGAAAAUGGUACAAACAAUAUAGUGAAUUCAAAGCCGUUGAUGAAUGGAAAAAAAGAGGCGAACAACCAAGUGGUGUCAGCCACUUCUGAAAACAACAUCAAACCUUUAAAAGACGAUGACAGUGACAGUGUUGAAGUCACUGUUAUAGAAGAAGAAAUGAAUUUGGAAGAUUUAAUGAGGCAAAAGGCGCUGCUUCAAGCAAGGCUAGGUGCUUAUAUGUCGGAUUCUGAUAAUAGUGUUAAAGAAGAAGGUGAAGUUAUCAACUUGACUGGUGAAUAUAACCAUAGUGCACCAACAGAACCUAAAAAGAGAAGAAUAGAGAGCAGGAGUAGAAGCCAAGAGAGGAAACUGAGUAAAGAUAAUUUAAAUGAUAAACACAAAGAAAAAUAUUCAGGUGCAGUUAGUAAGCAUAAAAAGAAAGAAGAGGAAAAGAAGAGAGACCAGAAAAAGAGGGAUGAUGAAGAAAAAAGAUGGAAGGAAGAUGAAAUCCGACGAGAAGAGGAGGCUAGAAGAAGGGAAGAUGAGUUAAGAAGAAAAGAAGAAGAAAGAAGAAGAGAAGAAAGAAGAAAAUCAGACCAAAAGAGGCAGGAAGAAAGAAAUAGGAGGGAAGAAUUAAGGCGUAGAAGCCUUUCCAGGAGAAGAAGUUGUUCUCGUAGUAGAGAUCGUAGGGACGAUAGAGACAGGCGAAUUGACAGGAGGCGUGAUGACGACAGGGAUAUUCGUGAUAGGAGGCGGGACGAUUCGAGAGAUAGAAGAAGAGACGAUAUUAGAAGACGAAGCAGGGACAGAGAUCGUAGGAGUAGGUCUCCUCAAGGAAGAGAUAGAGACAGGAGACCAUACAGAUAUGAUUCAAGGCGUUCUCACAGUAGAGAUAGAAAUUAUUCUAGAUCCCACAAAAGCCGAACAGUCAAAGAUAAAUUUAAGGAUAGCUUAUCAGAGGGUCAAAUAAGAGAUGCCAAUUCUUCUUCCUCCGAGGAUGACCUUACUAACAUUAACAUUGUGGAAGAUGAAGAAGAUGAAGAAGAAAUCAUCGAGAAGAGAAGAAAGCAAAGAGAAGAACUUAUUAAGAGAUUGGGAGCUGUAAGUGAAGAUUCAAACCUAACAGUGUCACAGGCAGCAAGCCCUGUUAUUGCUGUAAUUGAAAACGAUGUGGAGGCUCCUAAAAAAAGGAAAUCUAGGUUUGAACCAGAAGCUAAUUCUGAUGCCAACUUGCCCCCUCCAAAAGAAAGUCCACCCCCAGCCAAACCAGACAAAUGGGAUAUGUUUGCAGAAGCUGAUACACCUGUAGAAUAUAAUAGCCCUGGAGUUGUUGAUAAAAGUGCUGGGGCUGAAAAUCCAUCGCUGACUGAUAAUUGGGAUGAUGCCGAGGGUUAUUAUAGAGUCAGAAUCGGUGAAAAUCUCGAUUCUCGUUAUAUAGUUUAUGGAUACACUGGUCAAGGAGUUUUCUCCAAUGUCGUCAGAGCUCGGGACAGCAUUCGAAAUAACCAAGACGUAGCUGUGAAAAUCAUAAGAAAUAAUGAAAUAAUGCACAAAACUGGUUUAAAAGAAUUAGAUGUAUUGAAAAGGUUAAAUGAUGCAGAUCCUGAAGACAAGUUCCAUUGUUUAAGACUUUUUAGACAUUUUUUUCACAAACAACAUCUUUGCCUUGUAUUCGAACCUCUUAGUAUGAAUUUGAGAGAAGUCUUAAAGAAGUAUGGUAAGGAUGUUGGUUUGCAUGUAAAAGCUGUCAGAUCUUAUAGCCAACAACUUUUCUUUGCCUUGAAGUUGCUCAAGAAAGCGAAUAUUUUACAUGCAGAUAUAAAACCAGAUAAUAUUUUGGUGAAUGAAAGCAAAUUGAUAUUGAAACUUUGUGACUUUGGUUCAGCAUCACAUGUAGCGGACAACGAAAUAACACCUUACCUUGUUAGUAGGUUUUACAGGGCUCCAGAAAUAAUCCUCGGAAUUCCUUAUGACUUUGGAAUUGAUAUGUGGUCUGCUGGGUGUACAAUUUAUGAAUUAUACACUGGUAAAAUUAUGUUCCCGGGCAAAUCCAAUAACCAGAUGUUAAAACUUUUUAUGGACCUGAAAGGCAAAAUGCCUAAUAAACUUAUCAGAAAAGGAGCGUUUAAGGAUCAACAUUUUGAUGUAAAUUGUAAUUUUUUAUCCCAUGAGGUAGACAAAGUCACAGAGAGGGAGAAGGUGGUUGUAAUGUCGACUAUUAUUGCUACAAGAGAAUUACAUUCUGAACUGGUGGGUAACCAACAUUUGCCUGAAGACCAGGCAAGGAAGGUGAACCAGUUGAAGGAUUUGCUCGACCGCGUUCUUAUGCUAGAUUCGAGCAAAAGGAUCGCCCUCAAUCAGGCUUUAACACAUCCUUUUAUACAAGAAAAAAUAUGAACCUCGUAGGAGAGUAAUUGUGUGAGGCAAUGUUCAUUGUUCGAGACUUGAGAAUUCUCAUGCGUGUGUUGCCUGGCGCACAGGUUUUACAGAAAGGGGCUAAUUUUAAGGAGAGCGGUUGGUCUAAAUGCUGAGCCACCGCCCCAGCAAUUAUUAGUCAAGUCCAGUACCACCUUGCUGUAGGUAAUUUA
rnacentral:misc_RNA from 1 species